UACGGGGGGCAAGCGUUGUUCGGAAUUACUGGGCGUAAAGGGCUCGUAGGUGGCCAACUAAGUCGGACGUGAAAUCCCUCAGCUUAACUGGGGAACUGCGUCCGAUACUGGAUGGCUCGAGUUUGGGAGAGGGAUGCGGAAUUCCAGGUGUAGCGGUGAAAUGCGUAGAUAUCUGGAGGAACACCGGUGGCGAAGGCGGCAUCCUGGACCAACACUGACACUGAGGAGCGAAAGCCAGGGGAGCAAACGGG
rnacentral:rRNA from 1 species